UCAGUUGUGAAAGUUUGCGGCUCAACCGUAAAAUUGCAGUUGAUACUGGGCGCCUUGAGUGCAGCAUAGGUAGGCGGAAUUCGUGGUGUAGCGGUGAAAUGCUUAGAUAUCACGAAGAACUCCGAUUGCGAAGGCAGCUUACUGGACUGUAACUGACGCUGAUGCUCGAAAGUGUGGGUAUCAAACAGGAUUAGAUACCCUGGUAGUCCACACGGUAAACGAUGAAUACUCGCUGUUUGCGAUAUACGGCAAGCGGCCAAGCGAAAGCGUUAAGUAUUCCACCUGGGGAGUACGCCGGCAACGGUGAAACUCAAAGGAAUUGACGGGGGCCCGCACAAGCGGAGGAACAUGUGGUUUAAUUCGAUGAUACGCGAGGAACCUUACCCGGGCUUAAAUUGCAACAGAAUAUAUUGGAAACAGUAUAGCCGUAAGGCUGUUGUGAAGGUGCUGCAUGGUUGUCGUCAGCUCGUGCCGUGAGGUGUCGGCUUAAG
rnacentral:rRNA from 1 species